CCCAGUCCUUCGGGCUUGAACCGGAUACGACUAUCUUGAUAAGGGCCUGGUCGUCGUUCGGUUUGGAAUGAGGCUGCCCACGAUUUUGACAGUUGGUCCCGCAUGGCUGAUUGCCUCCUAGCGGGCUAAUAUGUUUAUAAAAGCCAUAUAUAUAUAAUGACAGAUGUCGAUUGAGUUCCAUGAAAAGGCUCGCGGACGCCAUUGCGUUGCUGCCAUGAGUGAUAGAGGUAGGUAAGAGAUCCAUGUCGUAGAAAACGAAAGGAAGCCUGAAAGUUAUGGCAACGGUUUAGACUCACUAGAAGAAGCACAUGGGAUACUGCCAUAAACUUCUCUGUGAGUUGACCUCGCCAAUGAUGGCAUGGGGCCCGGUCAUAUUUUCACCGGAUUCCCGGAGUUCCAUUUCAAGGGCUGAUGUGGGAAGUUGAGAAGGAAUUCGCGGAAGGGUGUCAAUCAGAGCUGUAAAUACGUCCAUGGCCCAUUAUUACCCUGUGGAUAGGAAGAAGAAAACAAAGUCCUGAGGCUCUUCAGGCGUAUAUGUCUUAACUUAGUCCAGAGUUCCUUGGAUAGAAUGAGUGAAUUUCCCCCGAACGCUUCGCUCACUUGCCGUUUUGCAGAAACAAUUGAGUUUGACGUUGCCAAAGUUUGGAGAUGUUUGGCCGAGAUGUUUUUGGUUCCCGGAGAUGCAACAUUGGCUUGUUCUUGCUUUUAUUCUAUCAUUUUUUAUUAGUUAUUCACGGAAGUAUCUUUUCGGAGUUGAGGCUACGGUUAAUUUUUUUUUUUUUUUUUU
rnacentral:sRNA from 2 species